rnacentral:tRNA from 1 species
GAGGUUGUGGCUCAGUGGCAGAGCACUUGCCUAGCAUGUGUGAGGCACUGGGUUCAAUCCUCAGCACCACA